rnacentral:rRNA from 1 species
GAUUGGAAAUGGGCGCAGCCUGAUCCAGCAUNCCGCGUGUGNGAAGAAGGCCCUAGGGUUUCCAAGCACUUUCAAUUGGGAGGAAAACCUGCCGGUUAAUACCCGGUAGCUUGACAUUNCCNAUAGAAGAAGCACCGGCUAACUCCGUGCCAGCAGCCGCGGUAAUACGGAGGGUGCGAGCGUUAAUCGGAAUUACUGGGCGUAAAGCGUGCGUAGGUGGUUCGUUAAGUCAGAUGUGAAAGCCCCGGGCUUAACCUGGGAACGGCAUUUGAAACUGGUGGACUAGAGUUGAGUAGAGGGGAGUGGAAUUUCAGGUGUAGCGGUGAAAUGCGUAGAUAUCUGAAGGAACACCAGUGGCGAAGGCGACUCCCUGGACUCAAACUGACGCUGAGGUACGAAAGCGUGGGUAGCAAACAGGAUUAGAUACCCUGGUAGUCCACGCUGUAAACGAUGUCAACUAGCCGUUGGUUCUAUAUACAGAAUUAGUGGCGCAGCUAACGCAUUAAGUUGACCGCCUGGGGAGUACGGCCGCAAGGUUAAAACUCAAAAAAAUUGACGGA